GGUCUGGUGACCUAGUGGUUAGAGCGUUUGCCUCGGAUGCGGAAGGUCGUGGGUUCGAUCCCCGGCUGAGUCA